GAAGAUAGUGGCGGACGGGUGAGUAACACGUGGGUAAACCCUGCCCCAUAAGAGGGGGGAUAACAUCCGGAAACGGGUGCUAAUACCGCAUAGUUUUCUUGAUCGCAUGAUCGAGAAAGGAAAGACGGCCUUUGUGCUGUCGCUUAUGGAUGGACCCGCGGCGUAUUAGUUAGUUGGUGAGGUAAUGGCUCACCAAGACGAUGAUACGUAGCCGACCUGAGAGGGUGAUCGGCCACAUUGGGACUGAGACACGGCCCAAACUCCUACGGGAGGCAGCAGUAGGGAAUCUUCCGCAAUGGACGAAAGUCUGACGGAGCAACGCCGCGUGAGUGAAGAAAGGUUUUCGGAUCGUAAAACUCUGUUGUCAGAGAAGAACAAGUCGGAGAGUAACUGCUCCGGCCUUGACGGUAUCUGACCAGAAAGCCACGGCUAACUACGUGCCAGCAGCCGC
rnacentral:rRNA from 1 species